GUGCUCACUUUGUGGCAGCACAUAUACUAACAUUGGAAUAGUACAGAAAAGAUUAGCAUGGCGCUGGUACAAGGAUGACACACAAAUUCAUGAAGCUUCCAUAUAAAUAAAUUUUU
rnacentral:snRNA from 1 species